AGAAAAAGAAUGGUUCUUAACCCUAGCAUACCUCUUAUCCCAGAAUCUCUAGCUCUGUCUCAAAAGUAAACUAUAAUUCCCAUCGAUCAGCCCCUAUAAAUCUUGACGCACUUUGUUGAUCUGACUUGUACCAAAUCUCGACCUCAUCUUGUUCGUUUUCUAGGGUUUAUUUGUGUGAUUUGGUAGAUGACACGAUCGAGCCGGGGUCUUAUUGGAAGCAGCCUCUCUAUUCCUACGGGGUAGAGGUUACAACCACCGUUUACUCGCACAGUCGAAGAUGUACUUCCUGAGGUCUAGAACCAGGAAUUUACUGCUCAUUGUGUGGCAUUUGCUUCAGUGCAGUUUAUGACGAUUCUUUAUCGGAUUUGGAAGCCUGCAGAAUAUAAAGAUUUGAUUAUAUCUCCGCAACAAGUGAUCAAUGAACACGCUCGCACUUACAAACUUUUAUUACCAUCACUUACUCAUCCGAAAGGGUUGUACAGCAUGGCGAGACAUCCAUACCUCCGCGUACGCGACACACCGGAUAAACUUGACGCGGAAACAUAUGGCAUUAAAAGUUUGAAGUUCUAUAAAGGGACAACGGAAUUUGAAAAACAGUUGGUAAAAAACUUUCGUGGUGGACCCGGGUUCCCCGUAUUUGCCAAUUGUCACAUGUUUGGUUUAACAGACUCAAAGGCAUGUAGAGCAACCCCUCAAAAUCCAUAUGAUAGAGUUUGUCAUCUGAAGCAACGUCAAGACCCUCAAAUCAUGCAGUAGUUAUCACUGGCAUACACAUCACAACAGAAAAUCGAGUAAGUGUGCAAAUCAAAAAUUCAUGGGGCGAAUGGGGAGUUGACAAGAAAGGACAUACUUGGGUAACGGCUGAUUUUAUAAGAAGGAUUUGCGUACUCAAGAUGUGAGAAGAAAAGCUUUUGUGCAGGCGACUUUAUUUUGUGUUAUGUUUACGUGUUUGAUUGAGGAUGAAUUUCAUGUUGUGUUCGUUUUCUUUUGCUAUAGAUUGUGUCUGUUCAUAUAUUCUGAUGCAAAUGAUUUUAGAAACCUGUUUGGUUGAA